rnacentral:misc_RNA from 1 species
AAGUCGUAACAAGGUUUCCGUAGGUGAACCUGCGGAAGGAUCAUUAACACUUUUUCCAAAAAACUCUGGGAAAAGAAGUUCUGCUUCUUUUCUUGGUUUUAACCCCAUUCUUUUGCGAACGAUGAUUUUCCAAAAUCAUUUUUCUCUUCUUUAUCCUCUUUUUUAUUUUUACCCCAAUUACUACAAACCAUACCAAGCCUGAUAUAAAAUCGCUUUUUCUUAAAAAAAAAAGCGACCGAAACCUAAUGGUUAAAACAACUCUUAGCAACGGAUAUCUUGGCUCUC